rnacentral:rRNA from 1 species
UUCGGAGUUGCAGGCUGCAACUCGCCUGCAUGAAGUCGGGAAUUGCUAGUAAUCGCGGAUCAGCACGCCGCGGUGAAUACGUUCUCGGGCCUUGUACACACCGCCCGUCACACCAUGGGAGUCGGUAACACCCGAAGUCUGUAGCCUGACGCAAGAGGGCGCAGCCGAAGGUGGGAUUGAUGACUGGGGUGAAGUCGUAACAAGGUAUC